GUAGCCUUCUCAACUGUCGGGCCUCGUCCUUAUUUAGCUACGUUCAUAACGCAAGUGAAGGUAUUGAGCCCCGAAAUAUGUCAUAUUGCAUUGGGCCAGGGGCUUCUCCACUCUGAAACCAGUAUCGCUACACACGAUAGCGGUGAGUGUGUCGGCGACGUGCCGGGGUCGGAGGCCA
rfam:Planctomycetes bacterium RBG_19FT_COMBO_48_8 rbg_19ft_combo_scaffold_15261, whole genome shotgun sequence.